rnacentral:rRNA from 1 species
GACGAACGCUGGCGGCGUGCUUAACACAUGCAAGUCGAACGGAAAGGCCUGCUUUCCCUUGUGGAUUGCGGGUACUCGAGUGGCGAACGGGUGAGUAACACGUGAGUGAUCUGCCCCCAACUUGGGUAUAAGCCUGGGAAACUGGGUCUAAUUCCCGAUAGGACUGCAGGGUGGUGCCUGUGGUGGAAAACGAUUUUCUAGUGGUUGGGGAUGAGCUCGCGGCCUAUCAGCUUGUUGGUGGGGUAAUGGCCUACCAAGGCGGCGACGGGUAGCCGGCGUGAGAGGGGGGACGGUCACAUUGGGACUGGGACACGGCCCAGACGCGUACGGGAGGCAGCAGUGGGGAAUAAUGGACAAUGGGCGGAAGCCUGAUGCAGCGACGCCGCGUGGGGGAUGACGGCCUUCGGGUGGUAAACUCCUUUCGACCGCGAGGAAGCCACCUGGUUGGAAGGGUGGUGACGGUAGUGGUAGAAGAAGCACCGGCUAACUACGUG